UACGUAGGGGGCGAGCGUUGUCCGGAUUCAUUGGGCGUAAAGAGCUCGUAGGCGGUUCGGUAAGUCAGGUGUGAAAUCUCCACGCUCAACGUGGAGGGGCCACCUGAUACUGCCGUGACUCGAGUCCGGUAGGGGAGUGUGGAAUUCCUGGUGUAGCGGUGAAAUGCGCAGAUAUCAGGAGGAACACCGGUGGCGAAGGCGGGUCUCUGGGCCGAUACUGACGCUGAGGAGCGAAAGCGUGGGGAGCAAACAGG
rnacentral:rRNA from 1 species